ACUAACCAAAUCCAUUGCUACUAUCCCUUUAGGCUACAAAGAAAGUCUCUCGAUGUGAGUGAUAAAUAGAGAAGACUGCAACCGUAGUCUCCUUCUAACCUUGGUAAGGAUGAUCUAUUGUUCUAUUGUGGAGGCUAACGGAAUCUAGACACCACAAAGGAUGUUCAACCCGCACCUAUAAACCCUAUCCUUCCUGCUAACGAGAUUUGAUCUACAAAGGUAACUCGGAAUUGUCACGUUCCUCACUACUACCACGGUCCAGCUAGUCAGGGAAUAUCUAUGAGUA
rnacentral:lncRNA from 1 species